rnacentral:lncRNA from 1 species
GCGGGGACGGGGACCGCGGAGUGGUACCGGCUGAGGCCUGAGGCUCGAUCGCUUGUCGAACCCCGGGACGACCAGGCCGCCGAGAAGCUUCUCUGCAAUGGAGUUUGCACACGGGAACGUAGGAAAAUCAGUGCCCAGCUAUCCGCAAACAAAAACUCUCCGAUGAUCAUGUUAAAAAAACAAAUCCCCCCAACCCCAAGUAGAUCUCCUCGCAGCAGGCGAAAUCAUCGUUCCAAAACACGCGAUGCGGAAGAUUCAACACCACAUCAGGAGAUGCAUGUUAGAGGACGUGAUAGAUCGGAACCGGAAGUGAGUGGAUUACGUUACCUUGCCGUGUGGGCGUGUGGUCGCCUCCUAUGGCCACAAGGCCGAUUCGGGCCUCCACGGCGCGUCCCGCCGUCUACGGCUAGCCGUGGUCGUCAGGACGGGCGGGGCGCGAGGAGGCAGAUGGGCAGCGCCGUGACCUUCUUCCUCUCGAUCCAUGGCAGUCUUGUGUCCGGCUCCACCGUACCCUCUCGUGCCUCCGCGCGGUGAGCGGCCUUCUCCGCGGCGUCCCGGCAUCGCUGCGAGCCUGCGACAGAUGCUUGGUUAUGCCAAUGCCGACGCCGACCACGC